rnacentral:rRNA from 1 species
CCGAACCCACGCAUGUUGCAAAAUGCGGGGAUGAGCUGUGGAUAGGGGUGAAAGGCUAAACAAACUCGGAGAUAGCUGGUUCUCCCCGAAAACUAUUUAGGUAGUGCCUCGAGCAAGACACUGAUGGGGGUAAAGCACUGUUAUGGCUAGGGGGUUAUUGCAACUUACCAACCCAUGGCAAACUAAGAAUACCAUCAAGUGGUUCCUCGGGAGACAGACAGCGGGUGCUAACGUCCGUUGUCAAGAGGGAAACAACCCAGACCGCCAGCUAAGGUCCCAAAUGAUAGAUUAAGUGGUAAACGAAGUGGGAAGGCCCAGACAGCCAGGAUGUUGGCUUAGAAGCAGCCAUCAUUUAAAGAAAGCGUAAUAGCUCACUGGUCGAGUCGUCCUGCGCGGAAGAUGUAACGGGGCUCAAAUCUAUAACCGAAGCUGCGGAUGUAGCGAUAAAGCGGGUGAAAAGCCCGCUCGCCGAAAGCCCAAGGUUUCCUACGCAACGUUCAUCGGCGUAGGGUGAGUCGGCCCCUAAGGCGAGGCAGAAAUGCGUAGUCGAUGGGAAACAGGUUAAUAUUCCUGUACUUGAUUCAAAUGCGAUGUGGGGACGGAGAAGGUUAGGUUAGCAAGCUGUUGGAAUAGCUUGUUUAAGCCGGUAGGUGGAAGACUUAGGCAAAUCCGGGUCUUCUUAACACCGAGAAGUGAUGACGAGUGUCUACGGACAUGAAGUAACCGAGGAGAAGGAACUCGGCAAAUUGAUACCGUAACUUCGGGAGAAGGUAUGCCCUCUAAGGUUAAGGACUUGCUCCGUAAGCCCUGGAGGGUCGCAGAGAAUAGGUGGCUGCGACUGUUUAUUAAAAACACAGCACUCUGCUAACACGAAAGUGGACGUAUAGGGUGUGACGCCUGCCCGGUGCUGGAAGGUUAAUUGAAGAUGUGCAAGCAUCGGAUCGAAGCCCCAGUAAACGGCGGCCGUAACUAUAACGGUCCUAAGGUAGCGAAAUUCCUUGUCGGGUAAGUUCCGACCCGCACGAAUGGCGUAACGAUGGCCACACUGUCUCCUCCUGAGACUCAGCGAAGUUGAAGUGGUUGUGAAGAUGCAAUCUACCCGCUGCUAGACGGAAAGACCCCGUGAACCUUUACUGUAGCUUUGCAUUGGACUUUGAAGUCACUUGUGUAGGAUAGGUGGGAGGCUUUGAAGCAGAGACGCUAGUCUCUGUGGAGCCGUCCUUGAAAUACCACCCUGGUGUCUUUGAGGUUCUAACCCAGACCCGUAAUCCGGGUCGGGGACCGUGCAUGGUAGGCAGUUUGACUGGGGCGGUCUCCUCCCAAAGAGUAACGGAGGAGUUCGAAGGUUACCUAGGUCCGGUCGGAAAUCGGACUGAUAGUGCAAUGGCAAAAGGUAGCUUAACUGCGAGACCGACAAGUCGAGCAGGUGCGAAAGCAGGACAUAGUGAUCCGGUGGUUCUGUAUGGAAGGGCCAUCGCUCAACGGAUAAAAGGUACUCCGGGGAUAACAGGCUGAUUCCGCCCAAGAGUUCAUAUCGACGGCGGAGUUUGGCACCUCGAUGUCGGCUCAUCACAUCCUGGGGCUGUAGUCGGUCCCAAGGGUAUGGCUGUUCGCCAUUUAAAGUGGUACGUGAGCUGGGUUUAAAACGUCGUGAGACAGUUUGGUCCCUAUCUGCAGUGGGCGUUGGAAGUUUGACGGGGGCUGCUCCUAGUACGAGAGGACCGGAGUGGACGAACCUCUGGUGUACCGGUUGU